AAUAUGUGUUGCGGGUAAUUUCUCAGGAUCUCCUUGAACAUUUCCCAUGUCUCAAGUAGAGACUCCAAUUCCAAUUGUACAAUGGAUGAGAUCUCAUUCCUAAGCUU